GGCUCAGGAUGAACGCUAGCGGCAGGCUUAAUACAUGCAAGUCGUGGGGCAGCAUGAGUAGCAAUACUUGAUGGCGACCGGCAAACGGGUGAGGAACACGUACACAACCUUCCUUCAAGCGGGGAAUAGCCCAGAGAAAUUUGGAUUAAUACCCAUAAUAUAUUUGAUAAGGCAUCUUAUUAAUAUUAAAGCUUCGGCACUUGAUGAUGGGUGUGCGGCUGAUUAGAUAGUUGGCGGGGUAACGGCCCACCAAGUCUACGAUCAGUAGCUGAUGUGAGAGCAUGAUCAGCCACACGGGCACUGAGACACGGGCCCGACUCCUACGGGAGGCAGCAGUAAGGAAUAUUGGACAAUGGACGAAAGUCUGAUCCAGCCAUGCCGCGUGAAGGAUUAAGGUCCUCUGGAUUGUAAACUUCUUUUAUAUGGGACGAAAAAAGGGCAUUCUUGUUCACUUGACGGUACCAUAUGAAUAAGCACCGGCUAACUCCGUG
rnacentral:rRNA from 1 species